rnacentral:rRNA from 1 species
CCCUUAGAUGUUCUGGGCCGCACGCGUGCUACACUGAGUGGAUCAGCGGGUCAGGUUGCGCGAAAGCGUUUCCUAAUCUUUAAAUCCGCUCGUGAUGGGGAUUGACGGUUGCAAUUUUCUGUCAUGAACGAGGAAUACCUUGUAAGCGCGGGUCAUCAUCCCGCGCUGAAUACGUCCCUGCCCUUUGUACACACCGCCCGUCGCUCCUACCGAUUGAGUGGUCCGGUGAGGCUUUGGGAUCUGAGCGGAAAGAGCGUUUCGCUGUUUCUGCUCGGAAUACUCAGUCGAACCUUAUCAUUUAGAGGAAGGAGAAGUCGUAACA